GCCCACGUAGCUCAGGGGUAGAGCACUUCCUUGGUAAGGAAGAGGUCAUCGGUUCAAUCCCGAUCGUGGGCU
rnacentral:tRNA from 1 species